rnacentral:rRNA from 1 species
AUUGAACGCUAGCGGGAUGCUUUACACAUGCAAGUCGAACGGCAGCGCGGACUUCGGUCUGGCGGCGAGUGGCGAACGGGUGAGUAAUGUAUCGGAACGUGCCCAGUAGCGGGGGAUAACUACGCGAAAGCGUAGCUAAUACCGCAUACGCCCUACGGGGGAACGCAGGGGAUCGUAAGACCUUGCACUAUUGGAGCGGCCGAUAUCGGAUUAGCUAGUUGGUGAGGUAACGGCUCACCAAGGCGACGAUCCGUAGCUGGUUUGAGAGGACGACCAGCCACACUGGAACUGAGACACGGCCCAGACUCCUACGGGAGGCAGCAGUGGGGAAUUUUGGACAAUGGGGGCAACCCUGAUCCAGCCAUCCCGCGUGUGCGAUGAAGGCCUUCGGGUUGUAAAGCACUUUUGGCAGGAAAGAAACGUCGCGGGCUAAUACCCCGUGGAACUGACGGUACCUGCAGAAUAAGCACCGGCUAACUACGUG